ACCCUUUGUGAACUUAUACCUACUGUUGCCUCGGCGUCAGGCCGGCCUCCUCACCGAGGCCCCCCGGAGACGGGGAGCAGCCCGCCGGCGGCCAACUAAACUCUUGUUUCUAUAGUGAAUCUCUGAGUAAAAAAACAUAAAUGAAUCAAAACUUUCAACAACGGAUCUCUUGGUUCUGGCAUCGAUGAAGAACGCAGCGAAAUGCGAUAAGUAAUGUGAAUUGCAGAAUUCAGUGAAUCAUCGAAUCUUUGAACGCACAUUGCGCCCCCUGGUAUUCCGGGGGGCAUGCCUGUUCGAGCGUCAUUUCAACCCUCAAGCCUGGCUUGGUGAUGGGGCACUGCUUCGAGAGGAGCAGGCCCUGAAAUUCAGUGGCGAGCUCGCCAGGACCCCGAGCGUAGUAGUUACAUCUCGCUCUGGAAGGCCCUGGCGGUGCCCUGCGGGGUAAACCCCCCAACUUCUGAAAAUUUGACCUCGGAUCAGGUAGGAAUACCCGCUGAACUUAAGCAUAUCAAUAAGCGGGAGGAAAU
rnacentral:rRNA from 1 species